rnacentral:rRNA from 1 species
ACCGGCGCACGGGUGCGUAACACGUAUGCAACCUACCCAUAAGCGGGGAAUAACCCGGAGAAAUCCGGACUAAUACCGCAUAGUACGUUUGAGUGGCAUCACUUAAACUUUAAAGAUUUAUCACUUAUGGAUGGGCAUGCGCAUGAUUAGAUAGUAGGCGGGGUAACGGCCCACCUAGUCAACGAUCAUUAGGGGUUCUGAGAGGAAGGUCCCCCACAUUGGUACUGAGACACGGACCAAACUCCUACGGGAGGCAGCAGUGAGGAAUAUUGGUCAGUGGGCGAGAGCCUGAACCAGCCAAGUCGCGUGAAGGAAGAAGGAUCUAUGGUUCGUAAACUUCUUUUUUAGGGGAAUAAAGUGCGGUACGUGUACCGUUUUGUAUGUACCCUACGAAUAAGGAUCGGCUAACUCCGUGCCAGCAGCCGCGGUAAUACGGAGGAUCCGAGCGUUAUCCGGAUUUAUUGGGUUUAAAGGGUGCGUAGGCGGAAGAAUAAGUCAGUGGUGAAAGUUUGCAGCUCAACUGUAAAAUUGCCGUUGAAACUGUUUUUCUUGAGUGUAGAUGAGGUAGGCGGAAUGUGUUGUGUAGCGGUGAAAUGCUUAGAUAUGACACAGAACACCGAUUGCGAAGGCAGCUUACUAAGAUACAACUGACGCUGAGGCACGAAAGCGUGGGGAUCGAACAGGAUUAGAUACCCUGGUAGUCCACGCA